rnacentral:tRNA from 2 species
GCAGUCGUGGCCGAGUGGUUAAAGCGAUGGACUAGAAAUCCAUUUAGGUCUCCCCGCACAGGUUCGAAUCCUGUCGACUGCG